GCCGUGUGUGGUGGCACACGUCUGUAGUCCCAGCUACUUUGGAGGCUGAGUCAGGCGGAUCACUUGAGCCCAGGAGUUCUGGGCUAUUGUGAAGUAUGUGAUGGGGCGUCUGCACUAAGUUUGGCAUCAAUAUGGUGACGUUUUGGGAGCAGGGGACCACCAGGUUGCCUAAGGUGUCUGAGGACGGGUUUCCAGGUUGGAAACGGAGCAGCUCGACACUCCCGAGCUGAUCGGUGGUGCGACUGUUUAAUUGGGAGUAGCCGCUGCACUCCAGCUUGGGCAGCAUAGCGAGACCCCACUNNN
rnacentral:SRP_RNA from 1 species